rnacentral:rRNA from 1 species
UGGGGAAUAUUGGGCAAUGGAGGCAACUCUGACCCAGCAACGCCGCGUGAAUGAUGAAGGUCUUCGGAUUGUAAAGUUCUGUGAUGGGGGACGAAGAAAGUGACGGUACCCCAAGAGCAAGCCACGGCUAACUACGUGCCAGCAGCCGCGGUAAUACGUAGGUGGCAAGCGUUGUCCGGAAUGACUGGGGCGUAAAGGGUGCGUAGGUGGUUGGUCAAGUUAGUAGUGAAAUCCCGAGGCUUAACUUCGGUGCUACUACUAAGACUGAUUGACUUGAGUGCAGGAGAGGUAAGCGGAAUUCCUAGUGUAGCGGUGGAAUGCGUAGAUAUUAGGAGGAACACCAGUGGCGAAAGCGGCUUGCUGGCCUGUAACUGACACUGAAGCACGAAAGCGU